GCCCCUGUAGCUGAUGUUGGUCCAAGCGCCGGCCUUAUACCCCGGUUCAGCGCCCGCCAGAUAAGCGGGUGUACGUCGGUUCGAUUCCGACCAGGGGCACCA
rnacentral:tRNA from 1 species